ACCCGGCUGACGCGUCGCAAAUGAGACAAAGCGCGCGUCAUGGAU
rnacentral:hammerhead_ribozyme from 1 species